rnacentral:rRNA from 1 species
UGGGGAAUAUUGCACAAUGGGCGCAAGCCUGAUGCAGCCAUGCCGCGUGUAUGAAGAAGGCCUUCGGGUUGUAAAGUACUUUCAGUCGGGAGGAAGGUGGUAAGGUUAAUAACCUUAUCAAUUGACGUUACCGACAGAAGAAGCACCGGCUAACUCCGUGCCAGCAGCCGCGGUAACACGGAGGGUGCAAGCGUUAAUCGGAAUUACUGGGCGUAAAGCGCACGCAGGCGGUUGAUUGAGUCAGAUGUGAAAUCCCCGGGCUUAACCCGGGAAUUGCAUCUGAUACUGGUCAGCUAGAGUCUUGUAGAGGGGGGUAGAAUUCCAUGUGUAGCGGUGAAAUGCGUAGAGAUGUGGAGGAAUACCGGUGGCGAAGGCGGCCCCCUGGACAAAGACUGACGCUCAGGUGCGAAAGCGUGGGGAGCAAACAGG